UUAUGCUCGGGUUACACUAGCAAGUUAUUGCAGCAAUUUACUUGUGUGGAGGAACUUGCCGCGCGAGUUGCGAGUGUAAACAUAUCGCCAAGUCGACUUGCGACUGCAGCAAUUCAUUGUGGAAGUGACUUGCUGCACGUUUUCCGCUUCGAGUGUGCACACCACGCAAGAAGUAUCUGCAAGUUACUUGCAACUUUUAGCAUUUAUUUCUAUUUCCUACAAAAAUGGAGGAGAAACGGGAGUGGAUAAAGCAGGAUACAGAACAUUUUAUUGAAGCUGUGGAGAACUACCCCGAAAUAUGGAAUGAGCAUAAUCGAGACUUUAAGGAUAGAGUGAAGAAGAUGAGCACAUUAAAUGAAAUCUUGUCGAUAUUCGACAUAUCUGUAAAAGAAGUACAUAGAAAGUAGCAUAACCCCUUUGCUACCUGCAUACACUCGCUUGUUGUUUUAGGCGUCUAGAAAAAGACGAUGUGUAAUUAUUACAUGUUCUAUUUAAUUAGCUUGUUACUUUCCAUUUUAUGAGCAUUAGAAAAAAAAUCAUUUUUAUAAGCAUAUCAUUCUGUAAAAUGCAGUUUAUUUCAAUAAAAAUUUAAUUGCA